CGAAGUCGAACGGGGUCAUGAUUCUCACUGUUUCACGCAUUUAGAAGAGCGAGCAAGACAGAGCGGCGUAGAAAAAGUGAGGAGCAUGACCUAGUGGCGGACGGGUGAGUAACGCGUGAGCAACCUGCCUUUCAGAGGGGGAUAACGUUUGGAAACAGACGCUAAUACCGCAUGACAUAUGAAUGUCGCCUGGCAUUCAUAUCAAAGGAUCAAUCCGCUGAAAGAUGGGCUCGCGUCCGAUUAGAUAGUUGGUGAGGUAACGGCUCACCAAGUCAGCGAUCGGUAGCCGGACUGAGAGGUUGAACGGCCACAUUGGGACUGAGACACGGCCCAGACUCCUACGGGAGGCAGCAGUGGGGAAUAUUGCACAAUGGGCGAAAGCCUGAUGCAGCGACGCCGCGUGAGGGAAGACGGUCUUCGGAUUGUAAACCUCUGUCUUCGGUGACGACCAAAGACGGUAGCCGAGGAGGAAGCCACGGCUAACUACGUG
rnacentral:rRNA from 1 species